GGGCUCGCUUCACUAGCACAUAUACUAAAAUUGUAAUGAUACAGAAAAAAUUUGUAUGGCCCCUGCACAAGGAUGACACUCAAAUUCAUGAAGCAUUUCAUAUUUUU
ensembl:snRNA U6 U6 spliceosomal RNA